GACAUGCUCAAGGAAGGGGAAAAGCGUCUUGCCUCCAAUCAAGCCAUUUUUCAGGGCAUGAGUGGACUUCACCCUUCGCGAGUCUUGUCUCAAACUACAUGACAUUCUGUUUUGCAACUUCCACUUCAACAUCUGAUUGAAGAAAACCUGGACGUUAUUGAAAUACAAUACAGGAGAAUUGUUAUGCAUCUUGAGGAGACCGUCUUCGAAGGCAAACUU
rnacentral:lncRNA from 1 species